rnacentral:lncRNA from 1 species
ACAUCGUGAUCCGCCCGCCUCAGCCUCCCAAGGUGCUGGGAUUACAGGCAUGAGCCACCAUGCCUGGCUGACACAGUAGGCUUUUAACAAAUACUCAAGAAAUCGCAGUUCUUAGGCAUUUAAGGAACAGAGUUGGAACAAAAUCAAGAUUCAAAAUUAUUUCUCUAAGCCUUCUUUGGGCCACAGUCUACAAAGAGAUUGGGGAAGUAGGCUGUCAGAACUUUAAUGGUUCUGAAAUCACCGAAAAUGAUGUAACUGGAACACUUUCAUUUCACAAGAUUACAGUGUUACAUUUUCUAAAGAAACUGUCAUUUGCCUUCUGAACUAGAAACAGGGAUUUGUAAAAUAAUGUGCAGUGAUGGCGUGGAAAACUAACCAGCAGCACUCCUGAAAUGCUGCCUUCGUGUUCCCCUGGGACUGCUCGCCUCACCCCAAAACUAUUUCUACUGCCUUCCCCUUCCAUGCUACAACUAGUCUCCAAAGGUAGUUUUCUCUACUAACAAAGCAAACAGAUCAUAUGAACGGACAUCAGACUUUCUUAGGAGAUUUCUGAAAAUUCUCUCUUCUGGGGGAAUAAAUUGUGAGCAUUUCGAUUCAAACAUUCCUGAAAGAAUAACCAGGCAACCGAAACACUCAGUGACCUAACUGUGGUAGGCUGGUCACUUCAAACUUAACAGAACAAUAAAACAUAUACUACUUUAUGGCCAAAAAAAAAAAUCUUUUUAAAACAAUAAGUGUGGACAAAGUGUUUUCACAGAUGAAGAGAUGAAGUUCCUGAAAUUUAGGGUUUCAUUUCUCAAGGGUCUCCUUUAAACAAACAAACAGUUAUGAUUUCAAAGUAGACAUGUGCCUUCAACACCAUUUUUAAAAAUUACCAGCCUUAGCAAAGGUGUAGAAAAAACUUGUUCUCAAGCACUGUCCGUGGAAGAAUUAGUAAAACAUUUCUAGAAAACCUGUUACCGUCUUAACAAACUUUUAAACACAUGUAGCAAUUCUACUUCCAGGAACUUAUCUAUUUGCCAAGACAUAUAUGCAAGGAUCUUCCCUAUAGGGUUGUGUAUAAAGGAAAAAUCAGACAGACUAUGCCAGGAGCCCUCUGAAAGAGAAGAGUCAACUGUGGAGGGGGCACCUGUGAAUGAAUCCUGCGGAGCUGCUAACAGAGCAGACUUACACACACAACAUGACUUUCCUGGGCCUGACUCCCGGACCUGUCCCCAGCGCCUCGCGGCCUCUCGAGCCCCUUCAGUGACCAAGAUGCAGAGAUCAGGACGCCAUUGCACCACCCCAGGUGCCCGCCUCUAGCUGGCUCCGCCUGGGCCCCGAGGGAAGGGUCUGGCGCUGUCGCCCAGGUUGGAAUACAGCGGUGCAAUCUCAACUCACUGCAAACUCCGCCUCCCAGGUUCAAGCAAUUCUCCUGCCUCAGUCUCCUGAGUAGCUGAGAUUACAGAUGCCUGCCACCACACGCAGCUAAUUGGUUGGGUGUGGUGGGGCUUUCCAAUGAUUACUUAUUAAUGAUUACUUAUGAAAAACAACAACAAAAAAGCCAUCUUGAAGCUGCUUUUAAUGAGAGAACAAAUGUGCUCCCAAGCAACAGAGCAGCGAAAUUCUUUAUUACUGGAUUCUAACUUUCCUCUCUAACUGUAACUGUCUCAGCUCCACCUCAUGUGACUUGGAGGGUAUGUUGCAACCUGCGUCUUCACCACCCAUUCAUGAAGAUCUAUAAAACUAAUGUAAACUGCUGGGGCAAUUUCAACAUGAGUCAACUGGAGAUUGUUACUUGGUGAGAAUGCGCAAGUGGCAAAGAUCUAAAUUUGUUCAGCUAAUUUGUAAUUAACCUUCGCUUCUCACAUGUCAGUAUGUGAAGUGUCUGGUUUAAGCAAUUUAUCCAAAAAAGCCAUAGACUCUUUAAAUAACAACAAAACCUGGGCCUGGAAUUUUAUAAAGGCAGAAUGAGUAAGA